GGGUCUGCCUGCCGCCGGUCCGCGGUUCCCCCGAUUUGUUUUCUUAGUGGCGCUUUGAUGUGGGGUUUUUUCAGCGUGUCAGCGGCAGGGUGAACUCUGCGUUCCCACACACACACACACAGAGUCACAACAGCCACCCCGCAGCCAACAACAGCACCACCGCCGCCCCCAAAAGUGAUUUGGCAUCGUCGUGAGCGCUGGAAUAAAUUUCUCGGCUGGCGUGCUCACAGACAGCUCAGCAAAACAAGACUCGGGACAUCCGUCCUGAGCUUGGCAGUCUUCCUGAUGCAGAUGAGAGAGGAGGCUUGCUUUAGGACAAGUCUUCAGCCCCUGAGGUCUUCAUGAGAAGAACAGUGAUGUUGCUGUUGCAGGAUUCUAAUUCCUCAGUCUGGGCUGCACACAGUUAAAAUACU